rnacentral:lncRNA from 1 species
GAGCCUCCUCCACACCAAACAAUCCCAGUUCUCUCAGCCACUCCUCAUAAGACAUUUGCUCCAUCUCUCUCUUGUACUGGGGUGCUCAGCACUGGAUGUAGUAAUCCAGGUGUGGCCUUACGAUACUGAUGAGAAGGGAAGGAUCACCUCCCCUAACAUGCUGGCAACAGUUCUAAUGCAGCCCAGGAUACAACUAGCCUUUUUUUGCCACAAGGGAACAGUGGUGGUUGACGUUCAACGUGAAGUGCACCACGACUCCCUGGUCCUUUUCUGCAAAGCUGCUUUCCAGCUGGGUGGCUUCCAGCAGCUUGUCAAGGUCAAUCUGAGUAGCAGCAUGACCCUCUGAUGUAUCAGCCAGUGACCCCAGUUUUGUAUCAUCAGCAAACGUGCUAAGGAUGCACUCUGCCCCAUCAUCCAGAUCAUUAUUAUGGAUAAUUACGAUGUUGAACAGGAUUGGACCAAGUAUUGACUCCUGAGGUACACUAGUUACUGGCUGCCAACUAAACUUUUUUCCCUGAUUGCUACCCUUUGGUCCCAUUCAUUCAUCCAGUUUUCAGUCCAUCUCACUGUUCAUCCAUCACAUACUUCACCAGCUUCUCUGUGAGAAACUGAUGGGAGACAGUGUCAAAAAUCUUACUGAAGUCUUAGGCAGACAAUGCGCAUUCAUCUCCCCUCAUCUGCCAUGACACUCAUUUCAUCAUAGAAGGUUAUCAGGUUGGUCAAGCAUAUGAUGGGGAGUGCUUUUGAAUCUGCUAGGUCUGCAGCAUUGUACCUUGGAGUGGGUGGGCUGAGCGUGUAGACCCUUCUCCAUCUGGAGCCAGCUUCUGCUGACUGAAAUGGAACAACUGCAUCUUUAUAUAUGAGGGUACUUGGUAGAGGAGAAUGCAAAGGUAUUCAGCUCCUUUCUCUCUUUCCCUGUGAACUUUUGCCCCCCAUUCCAUGUGAACUCUCUAACUCUGUGUCCAGAGGGCAGAAGUCAUGGGAAACAUGAAUCCAUGAAGUGUCAAACUGCUUUUAUCCCUGCACAACAUACUUGUUCUUCCACUUAUUCCACUGUCAGAAGACAUGGGAUUUAAGACAACAUGAAAUAUCCAGGAAUUAGGGAUUAAUUAAUACAUCUAGAAAGGUUGAUUUCAGUGUGUGUGUACACUUUUCCCCAGAUGUUGUUUGAUUUGCAUUAUCUCUAGUAGCAGGAGAUUUCCACUAACAGAUAAAGCAGCAAGAAAUAAUUCCUAAAAUAACUUCAAAUCUUCCUAAAUUAAAUCAGAGGACCAAUAUGUUUUGAAUUUUAGUCUUCUUGUUUAGUCAUAGUGUUCACAAAUACAAACUCUUUUCCUGGUUGGUGCAAAAUAAAAGUUUAGGGACCAUAAAUAUCUGAAGUAGU